GCUUUUAUCAUUCAACAUUU
rnacentral:snRNA from 1 species